rnacentral:rRNA from 1 species
AACGCUGGCGGCGUGCCUAACACAUGCAAGUCGAACGAGAAAGUGGAGCAAUCCAUGAGUAAAGUGGCGACCGGGUGAGUAACACGUGACUAACCUACCUCCGAGUGGGGAAUAACUCCGGGAAACCGGGGCUAAUACCGCAUAACAUCGCAAGAUCAAAGCAGCAAUGCGCUUGGAGAGGGGGUCGCGGCUGAUUAGCUAGUUGGCGGGGUAACGGCCCACCAAGGCGAAGAUCGGUAUCCGGCCUGAGAGGGCGCACGGACACACUGGAACUGAAACACGGUCCAGACUCCUACGGGAGGCAGCAGUGGGGAAUUUUGCGCAAUGGGGGAAACCCUGACGCAGCAACGCCGCGUGGAGGAUGAAGCCCCUUGGGGCGUAAACUCCUUUCGACCAAGACGAUAAUGACGGUACUGGUGGAAGAAGCG